rnacentral:lncRNA from 10 species
GGCGCUGGAUGCUUUGCUGCCGGGGUUCGGGAGUGACCUGCGCCUAGAGCAGGUCGGGCGCACUGCAGUCCCGCACUCGGGGCUCUUCUUCCGGUCACCUGUAGAGCCCGGCCGAGGAAUGGAAUAACAGGCGUCCUGUCCGCAGCCCCGCGGAGGGGGCGCUGGCCUGCCGGUUAGUAUUGAGGUGCCCUAGGCUUUGGAUAGACGUUGGAGAAUGGCUGUCCCUCGGACUGAGUCCGUCGCAACCCCCUCUGUUUUACUGAGGAAACUGAAGCCACAGAAAAAGAUGUUUGCUGAUGGGUCAGAGAUAACCGAUGCAUUCGUCGCAGAAUCUGGCCAGGAUUUCUUAGGUUAAGCCCCACUCAUUUGUAUAAGAAAGAAUAUUCCAAACUUAAGUACUACACACAAAAGACACUUUUAUUUGUGAGGCUAUAGUUGGUUGAGCUUGUGUGCACCUUCUCCUAUUUCUGUUCUAUUAAAUCUUGUGAACAUUUCUCUACUCUUUAGCUGUUUCUGUCAUAGAAUGACAGAAGCACCUCACUGCCUUCUCUUUUAACUUACAGCUCCAUAGAAAUGUGCGCAGUCGCCCGGGCGCGGUGGCUCACGCCUGUAAUCCCAGCAUUUUGGGAGGCCAAGGCGGGCGAAUCACUGGAGGUCAGGAGUUCGAGACCAGCCUGGCCAACAUGGUGAAACCCCGUCUCUACCAAAACUACAAAAAUUAGCCAGGCGUGGUGGCGGGUGCCUGUAAUCCCAGCUACUCACGAGGCUGAGGCAGGAGAAUUGCUUGAAUCCGGGAGGCAGAGGUUGCUGUGAGCCCAGACUGCGCCACUGCACUCCAGCCUGGGCGACAACAGCGAGACUCCUUCUCGAAAAAGAAAUGUACGCAGUCCUUGGAGACUGCAUUUUCCUUAAGUGUGGAUGGAAAUAAGUCAUCUGUUUUCUCUCCUACUAAGUUGAUGCCUGGCCACCCUUCACAGAAAGGCCCGCUUGAAGACCCUGGCUGUCAGGGCCAGGGUUGUGUCAAGCCUGAACUUGUUUAAGGAGCUCUUAGCUCUUCCUUUCUCUACAUUUUUCGUGAUGCUUAGGUGGAGAGUGGUCCGGUGUCUAUGCUUAGAAGGAAAAAUUAUUGGCAGUCCCAGAGAGAGUCUAUUCUUCCUUUUUUUUUUUUUUUUUUUUUUAUUGAUCAUUCUUGGGUGUUUCUGGCAGAGGGGGAUUUGGCAGGGUCAUAGGACAAUAGUGGAGGGAAGGUCAGCAGAUAAACAAGUGAACAAAGGUCUCUGGCUUUCCUAGGCAGAGGACCCUGCGGCCUUCCGCAGUGUUUGUGUCCCUGGGUACUUGAGAUUAGGGAGUGGUGAUGACUCCUAACGAGCAUGCUGCCUUCAAGCAUCUGUUUAACAAAGCACAUCUUGCACCGCCCUUAAUCCAUUUAACCCUGAGUGGACACAGCACAUGUUUCAGAGAGCACAGGGUUGGGGGUAAGGUCAUAGAUCAACAGCAUCCCAAGGCAGAAGAAUUUUUCUUAGUACAGAACAAAAUGAAGUCUCCCAUGUCUACUUCUUUCCACACAGACACAGCAACAAUCCGAUCUCUAUCUUUUCCCCA